rnacentral:rRNA from 1 species
CCUACGGGUGGCAGCAGUGGGGAAUAUUGCACAAUGGGCGAAAGCCUGAUGCAGCAAUGCCGCGUGAAGGAAGAAGGGUUUCGGCUCGUAAACUUCUAUCAAUAGGGACGAAAGCAAUGAGGGUACCAGAAUAAGAAGCCCAGGCUAACUACGUGCCAGCAGCCGCGGUAAUACGUAGGGGGCAAGCGUUAUACGGAAUUACUGGGUGUAAAGGGUGAGUAGGCGGCAUGGUAAGCCAGAUGUGAAAGCCUUGGGCUUAACCCGGGGAUUGCAUUUGGAACUAGCAAGCUAGAGUACAGGAGAGGAGAGUAGAAUUCCUAGUGUAGCGGUGAAAUGCGUAGAUAUGAGGAAGAACACCAGUGGCGAAGGCGGCCUUCUGGACUGAAACUGACGCUGAGGCGCGAAAGCGUGGGGAGCGAACAGGAUUAGAUACCCCUGUAGUC